GGCGCGUUAGGGCAGAACACACUUAGAUGCACCAGAUUAGAUUAUUUGAAGCCCUUUGCCGAGCUCUCGUCUUGACAACAUAUAUCCCCGGGCCACUCGGAGAUGGUCACUGGGCGACUGCUCGCGACGUGGCAAAAACAAUGUGUUGAUUUUGAUCUAGCGUGGAGCCGCUCCCUCUGUCCAUAGCAGUUAUGUAAAUAAACAUGUCAUUCGGGAGGUUAAAGCUAAUUUCAGACCCUCCGUUUUAGAUUAUGUCAAAGAAAGAGGAGCAGAAAAACAUGCUUGUGACCUUUCGGCUAAGGCUGUCUGUGUGGCUAAUUUACAAGUGCUGUGUUAAAGUCCGGGGUCAGGCAUUUUAAAUGGCCGGGCAUUUUUUCCAUUGCCUGUUUCAUUAAAAAAAAAAAAAGCAUUGUGGGCUUCGGGACGCGCAACUCUCCGGAUCUGACCUCUACAUCACAGAGGCAUGCUCUGUUAAAUUAGUUUGAUGUGUUGCCCUGAGCACAUGUAGCAUUUAGUCUAUUGUCCACUUUCACCUCACAGCUCUCGCUUUUAACCCUUUGCAUUUAAUAACAGGGUCCUAAUGGAAAUCUACAUCUCAGAACGAUGGACUUGGUUGCUGAGCGAGAGAGCAGCGUUUCGAAUCCAGAGCCAGCCAAAUGUGGGUUUUGUCUUCCCUUUAAUCUCCUCAUCCAUCCUUUCACUCCUUUUUCCCCCCUUCUUUGUUGUUCUCAUCAGAAAGCGAGAUUUGCAUUGCUCUUCGGUGUCCUAUCCUAUCUCUUUUGUUCUCGCUCUCUCUCCUGAUUUGACUGGAUUGUGGAAGAGAGAUGAUUGUGUAGCCUCAGGGCGAUGCGUCAAUGUCAGGAGAAUCAACGUGCAGACGCUCGGUAAACACGGGAAACUAAACAAGGUGUUUGUAAAUGGCAGAAAAUGGGGCUGAUCUCUCAACUCUUUCUCUUUUGUGCGCUAACAUCGCCGUCUUUCCCUCUAACUGCUGAGGAAAAUACAUAGCCGGUGUGAUUUAUCAUCUAUACAUAAUGUAAUAUCGCAUGAGCUUCAACGGCUCAAUCAGUUAUGUUAUUUCAAGAUUAAACUAUUAAAUAAUCACAUCUAAUAAAAUAUCUAUAUGAUUUCGGAUUCAUUUUCCAUACUGAGAAUCAAUCAACAAACAAUGUCCUUUGAAUGAAUUUUUCAAGAGCCUUAGAGCUCAAGUGAGGAAUGAAAAUCAAGAUGGAUGUACAAAUUCAAACGAUAAAAGAGUUACAUUUUAGAUUUUAGUAGAGAAAACAACUAGUUUCUGUACCUAACUUUGACAAAUAAUUACAU
rnacentral:lncRNA from 12 species